rnacentral:misc_RNA from 1 species
UUUCAAUAGAUAAUUAGUUAAAAUCUAAGCUCCUAAUUUCCAUGAGUAUCUCCCUAAAGAAGUUCUUGUUCCAUAGAAAACAUUGGAAUUGAAAAACAAAAAUGAAGCUGAGUUGCUUACCACAUAGCAGAUAAAAUCAUAAUAAGCAGCAUAUCAGUGCACAAAUAAAGACAUCCAUGAUAAACCAAAAAAGACGUAUUGG